UAAAAAGUAGGAGAAUUAAUUCACUAGUGGGUUGAAAGAGGAUCUCUGGAUAGUACUGAAGGUCCAUCUGAAUCAUAUUUUUAAUGUGAAAUCAGUUCAAGAAGUUGAUAUAAAACUUACCAGUAAUUACAUGACUCUUUCUUCUCCUUUUUGAAGGUAUAACGAGUCUUCUGAAUUAUAUCUCCUUCUACGUGUGGCCAAACAUGUGAUUAAUGUACGCUUGAGAAGUACCUGUUUUCUGAGAUUACUGGGUGUGCGGUUCUAUAUAUGGUCCUUAGGUAUGUGUCAACAGCGGAUAACCUGCGGGAUGGUUUUCUUUAUAGACUCCAGUCUUCAUCAGCAUGAAAAAUGUUAACUUUUUCACUUUUGACUCUUUCUGUGGUGUUCUCUAUGGUAAAUCAAUAUCCAAUAUGUUAAAGUCACAUUUUCAUCCUAGAUGAUUCUGUAAAUAUGGUAAUAAUUUAUGGGUCAAAUUAAAGGGUGAGAAACUGCCAGAUUGUUUCUAGAGUGGCUGUAUCAUUUUGUUAGAGGCAUAUUGAGGUGAAAUUACAACUGCAAAGUGUCAGCAAGAGGAAAUUCCAUAGGAUGUUGACACUGGUCUGUAUCCUAUUUGUGGUGGUAGUUAUAAGAAUCUAAUUAUGGGUUAAACUCACAGAACAAUACACAAAAACAAUGAAUAACACUGUUUGCAAAUGUACAAAAAUAAAUAAAUAAAAGCUAUACUAGUUUCUGUGAUAUAAGAUAGCCCACAGCAUUCUUGGAGAGGAAACACACAAGAAUUCUUAAAUACUUUAGGAAGAUUUACUUAAUAUUGAGCAAAUACA
rnacentral:lncRNA from 1 species